CAGCGUUCUGCAAAGCAGUUACGCACGAACAGAAAGUCCCGCGGACGCUCCAUGAUGAGUGGCACCUAAGCUGUCCGGUUCUUCGGGUUUUCCCAGCGCAGAGCCCGGUACUAGAAACUCCCAAGGGACAUACCUGCCUUGUGCAACGGAAUUCCCCUUACGCCCAGAGCCCAGCAGAGAGGAGGCACUCCAUACACGCUUUCCAACCACCAACUGCUGAAGGAGGCUCAGGUUCAGUCAUUCUCUUCAGGCUCCAGGAUAAGCGGGUCCGGUUUGUAGGUUACAGCCUUAUCUGGGGACCCUCGUUUUCCACCCCAGCUACACGUCUGUGAACAAUCGCCUCUCCGGCCCCUGAAAGGAGAGCGAGCGCCCCAUUUCUGCUGAAUGCACGUCUCAGUUCAUCCAAGGCUGGCGGGCUUUUGAUGGCCACAAUGCGAGUUACGCCCAAAGAGUGUCUCUUUGGUCAGAUCGACAACGCUUGGCUUCACGUUUGCAAGUUAAACGGGCAGAAACCCGGCUGAAACUCCCACGCCAGACGCCGGGGACGCUUCCCUCCGCCCAGUUCAG